UCCCCUCCCUCCUCCCAGGGGGCGGAGCGAAGAGGAGGAGAAACAGGCAGGCUACUUUCGAAAGGUAGGAGCCGCGCGCUCACCGCCCAGGCCCGGCUAUUCCCGUCAGGGCUUUACGCGAGUGGCGUAGCGCGGGAUGGGUGGGGUGGAGGCCAAGGGAGGAAAGCGGCGCCUUUUCUUUUUUUUUACGACGGCGACGUUGCUUGGCGGCCGCACCAGGCAGCGCCCCCCAGCGAGGAGCGUAAGGCCCGGUGGCAGGCUUUGGGCUUUCUCCAGCAGU
rnacentral:lncRNA from 1 species